AGGGGGAGGGGGUUAGAAGAGGUAGGGUGCGCUUGAAGAGGGGUUGAAUCGGCGCGGAGCGUGUUUCGGACAAUACAGAUUAUUCCGUGCACGAAGAUUACUGGAUGCACUGUGAGUGCCAGACAAGCAACACGUAUAGGAUAUAUUACGAAAAGGGGCCGCAUAAUUUAGGAUGGUUGUGUAGGUGAAAGUGUUUAGAAAAAGAAGAGGAUGGGAAGUAUCGAACACAUCGAUUCGUUUGAGCUCAGAGGCAGUUCGUGUCACUGAAUUUUCCGAGUGUUGCUAAACUCAAGGAAGCUGGAGGUUUUAAAGGAUUCGAGAGAGUUGAUUAACUAAUCUGAAGACAGCUAUCAUAGUGAGAAGGAGAAGCUGCCAUAACCAUGUGAUUUAUCGUCUUACGUGCCCAAACGAUCUCUCAGUCUACUUCUAUCAUCGUUUCACGUGCGAUCGCAGACACAUCCCUCAGUUCAACCCCUUUCUCGUUGUGGAAGGAAGCAGUUGAUUUAAGAUCAUCCUGAGAUUGCUCCUUCCGAAGAAAUAACGAUCGAGAAAGAGGGCUGACACGUUUCUGCUUAUCCGACAUUGCCAAAGGGAAGAAUGAUGCCUUAAGAGUUCGUGCAAGAAAAAAAAAGGAAGGAAAGGGUAGGAAUAAGAAGAAGCAUCAACGUUGGCAUCAGCAACG